rnacentral:rRNA from 1 species
AGAUUGAACGCUGGCGGCAGGCCUAACACAUGCAAGUCGAGCGGUAGAGAGGUGCUUGCACCUCUUGAGAGCGGCGGACGGGUGAGUAAUGCCUAGGAAUCUGCCUAGUGGUGGGGGAUAACGUUCGGAAACGGACGCUAAUACCGCAUACGUCCUACGGGAGAAAGCGGGGGACCUUCGGGCCUCGCGCCAUUAGAUGAGCCUAGGUCGGAUUAGCUAGUUGGUGAGGUAAUGGCUCACCAAGGCGACGAUCCGUAACUGGUCUGAGAGGAUGAUCAGUCACACUGGAACUGAGACACGGUCAGACUCCGAGGGAGCAGCAGGUGGGAAUAGUUGGACAAGUGGGGACGAAAGCCUAGACUCCGAGCCAUCGCCGCGUGUGUAGGAAAGGUAACGGUUCUUACGGA